rnacentral:rRNA from 1 species
AUACGUAGGGUGCAAGCGUUAAUCGGAAUUACUGGGCGUAAAGCGUGCGCAGGCGGUUUUGUAAGACAGUGGUGAAAUCCCCGGGCUCAACCUGGGAACUGCCAUUGUGACUGCAAGGCUGGAGUGCGGCAGAGGGGGAUGGAAUUCCGCGUGUAGCAGUGAAAUGCGUAGGUAUGCGGAGGAACACCGAUGGCGAAGGCAAUCCCCUGGGCCUGCACUGACGCUCAUGCACGAAAGCGUUGGGAGCAAACAGGAUUAGAUACCCUGGUAGUCCACGCCCUAAACGAUGUCAACUGGUUGUUGGGGAUUUAUUUUCUCAGUAACGAAGCUAACGCGUGAAGUUGACCGCCUGGGGAGUACGGCCGCAAGGUUAAAACUCAAAGGAAUUGACGGGG